rnacentral:rRNA from 1 species
UACGUAGGUGACCAGCGUUGUCCGGAUUUACUGGGCGUAAAGAGCGCGCAGGCGGUCGUUCAAGUCGAGUGUGAAAGCCCCCGGCUCAACUGGGGAGGGUCAUUCGAUACUGAUCGACUUGAAGGCAGGAGAGGGAAGUGGAAUUCCCGGUGUAGUGGUGAGAUGCGUAGAUAUCGGGAGGAACACCAGUGGCGAAGGCGACUUCCUGGCCUGUUCUUGACGCUGAGGCGCGAAAGCUAGGGGAGCAAAGCGGGG